CGUGAUCCGCCCACCUCAGCCUCCCAAAGUGCUGGGAUUACAGGCGUGAGCCACCGCACCUGGCCAAGAAGCAUUUUCUAAACUAAUCUUCUCCUACAAAUAGCCCCUGGACCUUGAGGAUCAUAAAUGGUCAUCAUUUAACAUUUUUUUCUGCUAGAAGUAUUGAGCCUCUUUGUUGUAUUGAGACCAAAAGAAGAUCUGUCACCCCCCUCCACUCCCCUACAGAUGUACAUACAACUUUCGGCAAUCUCAGAGAGUUUGAAGCUACAAUUCUAUUACAAACGACGUGCUACAAGUAUGCUUUUAAAAUAAAUUAUUUUUCCAGUUUUUUCACUUUAACCUCUGCCCCAGUGGUCGUAAAAACAGAGGCAUGGAGACUGAGUUCUUUUCUGUGGACCAUUAUGCAUCUAUCUUUUCCAAUAGUUUCCUUUGCCUCUGCUCUUUUUUGCUGUACAAAGACAGAAAUUUCUAAACAGAGCCUUUAAUAGUCCAUUACUUUUUACCCAUGUUAUGCAAUGUAGCUUUAAAGACGAACUUUUCCAGCAAACUGCUGCUUGUGUGAAUGCCUGUUUGGGAGUGAGACUUCCCUACUGGAAAAAUAACUAACACACACUACACCAUAGUUACGAUUACAUCACAAUAAAUAUUCUAUGCAGGACUAGGAACAGUUCCUCAAAGAAAAAUGCUUGGGGAACGGGUAAUUGGAAUGAACUACAAGCAUUUUCACUGAGCUCAAAGAAACUGCAAGAAAAAAGAUCUUCGAUCUGCAUCCAAGUAUUUUUUUUGUCUGAAAGAACACUGUGUGAGGAAUUUUGACAUUCUCUGCAUUCUAAUGAAAAUGACUUGGAAAGUAGAGGCUUCUCUAUACAUUUGCCUCAUUGCCGCCACGAUGGGCACCGUUUAUCAGGAAUAAAGAGAGAAGAUCAAGAAAGUAGUUCUUUUCUGGAGAAUUUUGUGCUCUGGCUCUUAAGUACUUUUGCUUUGCCAUGAAUGUGAAUAUUUUAAAGGCCAAAAAAGCCCCCUCCAUUUGAGUUGCAGAUGGCCACAGGAACCCAACAAGAAUGCUAACAACUCAUUUUAAAAAGGGAAAAAGAAAGGAAGUGCCAAGUUCCACACUGCAUAUCCAUACUGAUGUUGAGCCCAUCUUGGCCUAGCUGGUAGAACUGAAAAUUGAGAAUAAUAUUAAGGGGCUGCAAUGAUCCCUAAGGGUAAAAAUAAAUGUGUUUCUGAAAACAACAGCCACAUCCACAAUGAAAUAGACAUGAAACAAGAUAACCCAAGAACACAUUUGUUUUCCUUGUAACAGGGAUGCGUUAAGUUCAUUAUUCAGAGGACUUUGAUUACCCUUUUCAAAGAUUUUUGUGUUGGAAGCAAUCAGAAGACUGGAAGCAAUUUACUAAUAAGAGAACAUGCCCUACAGCUCUGGCCUGUGAAAAGAGUUUCAGAAUCACGAUGUAGCCACAAGUCAAAUUCUAGAAAGAAUUAAUGGCACAUCUCAUAGUUCUUUCAUUUGCUGGCUGAUUCAUUCCAGAGUGGUUUUGAGGACAGAAUGAAGCAAGAUGAAAAACAGCACUUUGAAAAUGGAGUGUGUGGUAUUCAUCUUAGAUACACUUUUAGAGAAGAAGAAAUGUGUCUCAGAAAAAGGACCUCUUCUGACUCAAAUUUAGCUUACAUCCCCUUCUCAACCAUAUCCCAGGUGAUAAAAUAUGACACCCAGCAGAAAUUCCAUCCAAACACAGGAAAGAAGCAGGCCCGGGGGCUUGGAGAUGAUACUUGUCCAGAAAUCCCAUGAUUAUUUUGCUAUAGCAGACGAUGACCUUCUCAAAGGAAGCCUAUCAAACGCUCAAGAUAAAUAAUGAGAAGGUCUCUCUCUCCUGCCUCCAGGAAAAAACUGCACAGAGGAAAAAUGUUUGCUAAACCAUUAAUAUGUUCAUCCCAGGAUGGGAAGCAGCUUGGUCUAAAAGAAACAGAGUGGCACAUGUGUUUGUGUGUGACCAGUGGCCCCAUUCAACAGGACUCCUGGGGCAGCAUCCAUGGAGGGGCCUCAGGAGACACACCUAAGCCCUUUACCCAGUAACGUCGGAAAUGAAUGUUUCUCUGGUGGCAGACAGGGUACCUUCUAAACCUCUUGACUCAUGAGCAAAUUAACUCAAGGUAAGGAAGCACUGGGUAAUGCCGUCUCUCAACAACCUAGAAAAAACAUGGUUCUGCUUUACUAGGCCCUGGAACUACAAUUAAUGGUAAUGAAUUCCCUCUUCCCUCACAUUCCCACCUUCCCACCAGGCAGCAAAUACUCAGGUGGCAAAAGAAGCUUUCUGUCUGUUUUUCUCCCCAUGGAAGCAAGGUUUCGCAGAGUAGGUAGAGAGCUGCAGUAGAAAUUGCAACUUUCCCAUGAUUUAAGUGCUUUGGCUGCCCUGGAGAAUGGGGCUGAUUUCUCAGGGCAAAAGUCAACUCUCCAUCCAUUUAUGGCUCUUGUCCAAUCUAUGGACAGCUGAAGACACAGAUCUUAACUCCAGGAGUUGGUGUAAGAUCCUUCCCAGCAGUGAAAUGGAAAGAGUUUUCAAAGACAUAGGGUCCUCUAUGGGAAGAGGUGGGAGAGUCAGGAGGUGAGGAAGAAAAUUUUCUAUUCCAAGGCAAGCUCAGGAAUCAAUGGGCUGAACCAAGUAGUACCCAAUGGCUGGGUAGGGGCAAGGGUAAAAAAGCAAUCUCAAAAGUAAUCAGGAUUCAAAUGAUCCAGGGAUUUGCAGAUAAAAUUAAAACUGCUCAGCAACACUUCAGGAGAAAAAGUCAGUAGCAUGCAGAUAGUUAUCAAGCACAUUAUUUUGCCAGCCAGCUGAGGAUGGCAGCAAGCUAAAUUUUGAGUCCAGAAAGGUGGUUAGGGUUUCUGUGCUCUGGAUUGUACAUCUUCCUCUCUCUAACUUGUUCUCCCCACCUUUUAGGAUGGCCAACACCCUCUUAUCACUUGAGACUCAGAAGAAGGGAAAUCUCCUCUGAAUUCUUUUCUGACCAGGGGCCCUGAUGACUGCCCCUUGUUGUCCCUUCAUCCCUGUGUGGACCAUUCUCAUGGCAUGGUGGGUAUUUACUGUGUAUAUCGGUUGCCAUAGCUCAGUCUCCCUUGUAGGGACUGAACCUAUUUAUCUUCACAUCUCUUGUGGCCAGAACACACCUGGCAUAUAGGUGGUCCAUAAAUGCUAGUGGAAUAAAAGGAGGAUGCUAAUUAUGUUUAUUUACUGGUCAUCCUUUUCCCCCCUAUCACUUUAACUUUCACCUCUCUAAUGCCCUUUAAUGUCCUUGAAAGCGAUUGAAUUCCUAAGACAAGCUGCCAUACUUUCUGGUGGAGAAUACACAUUUAUUUCCUGAAGGGUAGUUAAUGUCUAAUCACCCAGAAGACAUUUAGGUUUCUUUUAUUUAGAAAGCGGAGAUAAUAACUCCCCCAGUAAGUAAACAGGAAAAUAGACUUUGUUCUUCAAAAAAAAUUUGAUUAACAUAGUUUCAAGGAACAUUUCUACUGUUGUAAACCAAGGUUCUUGAAAUAAUCAACAACAUUACAGAUUGCAAGGUUAGAGAUUAAAACAUGCAAAAUAAGUGGAAUCAUACCAUUUAGCAAUGGAAAGACAGACUAUGUCGGUGAGGUGUUUUAAAUACCCAAACAGUUUUAUGACAAAAAAAAUCCUCACUAUAAACAAAAUGAAUUAGGGAUUUGCCUUGGAAUGAAGGUUUAAAAAUAAUGGGAUGAGUUUAAAGAAUACUGCAGGCCCUUAAAGACGAUGAGAGAUUUUGAGAGGCCUGAGUGACUUCAGUGGGGUCCAUCCCUAAAAUAAUGAAGGACUAAGUAAGUCAAACCUUAGGGUCGCCUCUGCAGAUCUUUAGCCUGGCCUGUGCAAUUGUAUUGCACAGAGGAAUACAAUAUGGCAGGAACAGACCAAUGUAACAGGUAGCAAUUGUUCACGCACCAGAUCUGGCACCAGCUACCAGAGGGAGGGUGAAAGAGGGGAAAAUUAUCUUUUCUUCAACUCUGUGAAGACUUAGAGUUUCAGAUAGUUAAAUGUGAGUGGGCUGGUGUUUCCUCUUUGCUAGAUUUAGUGUGUGCGGUUUCUCUGCCAUGUAUAUCUAUAGUUCUCUAAAGUGACUGGAGAAAUACUUUUCCUUAAAUCAGUGGUAAAGAAGUUACUGGCAAAAUGUCCCUUAAAUAUUCCUGUUGGGUGCUACCAAAGGAUUAUUUAAAAUCAUGAAAAUAAUCCAAAAGCUGCUCCCACUGGAAAAUGACUAGGAGAAAGAUGUUUAAAUUCAAAACUGCUAAGCACGGACACCUACCUAAACACACACACACACACACACACACACACACACACACACACACACCCUUCCUCUGAAGCUUUCCAGGGAUAGCUAUAGAAAUUUCAUUUUAAGCAAGGGAAAAAAAAAUAGAAUCACCCCCUCACAAAAAUGUUUGAGUAUAUUUUGGUCUCUUGGUCAGGGCCAAUAAAGAUCUCUUGUUGUGAGCCAACUAGAACAGAAAUGGAGUGAGAGAUGUACUACUUUAUGUGGUCUGAAUGUGAUUAGCGAUUAGCGCUGGUGGCUUCAGUCACUUGGGAAUGGCAAUCAGGGUUUUGCUCCUGCAACUCUGAACGACUACAAAACACCCUUGGCUUCCAUCCCAUAUGAUGAUGGGAUAUUAACUGAAAAUCUAAUUAAUCUGUGAAUGAAUUAUGGCCUAAGAAAUAUACCAUUUUAUAAUCAAUUUUAAGCGAGUCCCUAACAGAAGAUAAGAUGAAGAAAAAGCUGUAAAAUUGUAAGAGGUUGGUACAUUCUGUUCACUAUGACUGAUGAUUUUAAGGGGGAUAAUUUUACAAUCCAUCACAUUUUUGUCAUUUUAAAAAUCAUGCCUCCCAAUGAAUGUUGUAAAUUAACUUUAGAAUUUACAUAUUUAUUAAAAAUUGUAUAGAAAACAGCAGGAACUGUGCCCCAUUUGAAUAAUAAAAUAACUUGUUAUUCCACUGAAGACAAAAACACACAAAAAAAUCAAAAGAUUUUAUUUUCAGGUAAUAAUCAUAUUAAUUGCUAUCUGAAUUAGUUAAACCAAGAAUUAAUAUUCACCAGAGGCAGUGACACAGCAUUAAAGAUAAUCCUCCAAAUUCCCAUUUUCAAACAUGUCUCAGAACAUGUAAAAGCAAGGGAAAGACAAAUGGGGAGGUGAGGACCAUGUUCUUAGCCUGCGGGGUUGGGCAGCAGCAGAUGUUUGAAGCUGAGCUACAUCACCUGGGGGAAGGGGAGGUGCAGACAGCAAAACACAUGAUUUGGCUCUGAGAUGAAGAAGCACAGGACUUCAUUUUAAAAGCCUCUUUGCUUGUGAGGCUGAGGUGGGCAGAUCGUUUCAGACCAGGAGUUCGAGAUCACCCUGGGCAACACGGUGAGACUCUAUCUCUACAAAAAAUACAAAAAUUAGCUGAGUGUGGUGGCAGGCACCUGUGGUCCCACCUACUUGGGAGGCAGAGGUGGGAGGAUUGAUCAAGCCCAGGAGAUUGAGGCUACAGUGAGCCGUGAUGGCACCACUGUACUCUAGCCUGCGUGGUGGAAUGAGACACCAACUCAAAAAAAAAAAAAAAAAAAAGCCUCUUUCCAAAAAGAUUCUCUACUCUACUUCUCCUACUUUGGUUGAACUCCCUACCCAGAAUGGAAGGUUUGCUGGAGGCAACAGAACAUCCCAGAUGACUCCAGAGCAUGCAGGGAAAUAACCAGAAGGGCAUGGAACCAUGCCACAUAACAUGUGGGUGAAUACAACCAUUCACUCUAGAUUAACCUCAUAAUGGACUGUCAACUCAAAGAACUGGCUCCAAGAUAGGAACUGCAUGGAUUCAUCCACAGAAGGAUGAAGGGGUCAAGGGGAAUAGAACUGGUGUGUUACCACAUGUACUCACUAGUAAGAGUAACCCAUUGGGCUGAACUGACACAAGAUGUUCUCUUGAAAUUCCUGAGAGAUGAGGGAGAAGGAUAAUGCAGUACAUGUUUUUCAUGAACUUCAGUUUAAUCAUGAUUCCUUCUUUCCAUGAGGGAUUCAUGAUAGGCUGUUACCACUAUUUUUAAGAAAAGAGCAGAGAUCCUUCAUGAAGUACUGUAGUUGAGUGUGAGGCUUGGCUCACACUGCCUCUGCUACUCAGAGUUCAUUGCUUCAGUGCAGACAUGGCUAAUACCUGGCACUUGUGCGGCAACCAACUCCUCUCAUGCCCACAGCAGGCAUUGCUUAUCAGUCUCUGUCAUCUGUCAUCUGUCAUCCCAAGCAUGGAUAGGGCCUCAGAAUCCUUCUUAACACCACAAUUCAGGCAACCUCUGUCUAUUGAUUGUCCUUGGCAUUUGAGAUGAAAGCUAUCUUGCAUCCUUGUGUGUGUGUGUGUGUAUUUAUACAUGGGAAAUAUUUAUAUAUUAUCAGCAUAUAAUUAAAUCUAGCUAGCUAUAUAUUACAUCUAUAUACAGAGAUCCAAAUACCUAUAUUAUAUCUAACUGUCUGCUAAUGGUGUAGUCAUAUUCCUUAGUAUCUGCAGCUAAUAUGAGAUAUAGAUUGAUAUCUUAGUAUAUGAAAACUUGAAGUCACCUUUGACUCUUCUCUUUGUCUCAUACUCCACAUCUACCAGUCUUCUGGUAAAUUGCCUGUUUGUUCUCAGAAACAGCAAGUCCUUGAAUAAUAUCCUUUUGUUCAAUGUUAUUUUUUUAUAACAUUGAUGAGAAAAAAAAAUCAAUUCCUGCCAGGCCACUGUCUGUGUGGAGUUGGUAUGUCUCCCCAUGUCUGUGUGGGUUUUCUCCAGGGACUUCAGGUUCCUCUCACAUCCCAAGGCUAUGCGUGAGAGAUAAAUUGGUGUGUCUACAUGGUCCCAGCAUCAGUGAGCAUAAGUGUUCUGCAAAGGAACUGUGUCCUGUCCAGGGCUGGUUCCUGCUUUGUGUCCUAACUGCUGGGAUAGAUUCCAGCCACCUGCAACCCUGAGCUGGAAUAAUUGGGAAAAUAAUGGACUUACUUGUUUUUAUUCACCUUUCUUAAGUACGUGUACAGUUCACAUGUGUUUCAAUGUUUAAUAUUAGAAGUGUUCUGGUCUCUGUUUAGAAGUUUAGUAAUGUUUCUGUGACCAGGAAUAUGCCCUAGGAACUCAGCUCUUGCUUGUAUCAAUUAGCCUCGGAUAAAGUUGGUUUCUUUAUAUGUUGUUUUGCCUAAAGUCACAGCUUCUGAGAACCUACAACUUUAAGCAAGGACUUACUGUGCAUUCUUCUCCUUUCCCCUGCUCCACUCUGCACCAUAGGAACUACAUUUUCCAGGCUCCCUUUAUUUCUGGCUUCUGGGAAGGUUCAGCCAAUGGGAAGCAAUAGCAGAAGGCAGAAGCCUGGACAGUAAGAGGAGGGGGGGAAACAAGGCAUUUCUCCCCUUCUCUGUGUCCUGUGCUGUUCCUAGCAGCACCCACUUCUCCCUCACUGCUCUAACUUCCACCAUGUGCCCCUUCCCAUCCAUGGUUUUAGCUUCCAUUGGACAGUCCAGCUUCUAGACUCUAAUGUCACUCUGCCAUUUCCCUCCAUCCUUAAAGAGGGUGGUGACUUCCUGCUCUGCUAAUUUCUAGAUCAUGACUGUCUCCUGUUGAGUAUCUCAGCUAUUCCAUUAUUUGGAUAAGCCGUUUACUGUAUUGAAUUCCCUCUACUGAAAGGCCUAAAAUAGUUCCCAUUCCAUGCUAGGCCCUGACCAAUACAAUCAGGAAAUUCUGUUUGUGCAACUUUAAUCCAGUCAUUCUUCACCAUUUGUUUUUUGCUACCAUCAGCUCUUGCCUAGAUGACCACAUUAGUUUCCCAACUGUGCUUCCACUCUCUCCUCCUGAUAGCCUGUUCUUCAUACAAAAGCCAAGGCAUCCCUUAGAAACUGUAAAUCAGGUCAUCCCACUCCCCUGUUAAAACUCCUCAGAUGGUUUCCCUUUGCUGACAAUGAAUCCUAAAAUUCUCCCCACAGCCUAUAAGGUCCGAUAUAAGUGGCUCCUAGAUUCUUCUCCACACUAUUUCUCUUCCUCUCUGUGGUUCUGCUCCAGCCAUAAUGGUCCAGGGACACGUCACACAUACCCCUCCUUCAGGGCCUUUGCACUUGCUAUACCCGCUACCUAACAUGUUCCUCUUUCGAUUAGUCACGUUUCAGUGUUUCACUUCAUUCAAACCUGACAGAGCAAGAGAAUCACCAUCUUGGACAAGCACCGCCAUUUUAAAAUGCCCCUUGAUCAAAAACCACCUAAAUCCAAAGGGCAUCAGCCUAAUGGCUAAGAUCAGCAUGACCAUAAAUCACAAAUGACAUCUCCGACCAGAAACAUUCCAACAAUAAGAUAAACCCCUCCCUGACUGGAGGGAUGUCAGCCCCAAGAUAGCCUCUCCUCCAACCACAGACAUUCCCACCCUGCAAUAAACUUCUCCCCGCCACAGAAAUAUUCCAAGCCCGUGAUAAGUUCUCUCACCCUGAACCCUUAAAUACUAUUAGUCUGUAAGAGAGAGCACUCUUGACAAAAAUUGGCCAGAAGCCCCUGUCAGGUUUAUUCUCCAAAAUAAACCUGUCUUUGACCUUUCAGCUGCUUUUCAUGUUUCUUUCCUUUCUUUACCUCUUACAAAACCUCUGUUCAAAUGUCCCUUCUUCAGAAAGGCCUUUCCCAAUCAGUCACUCUGAAGCCAUGCCCUCAUUAUAUCCCAUCUAUGAAGCCUGCUUGAUUUUAUUUUAUUUUAUUUUAUUUUAUUU
rnacentral:lncRNA from 1 species